rnacentral:rRNA from 1 species
AGCGAACGCUGGCGGCAGGCUUAACACAUGCAAGUCGAGCGCCCCGCAAGGGGAGCGGCAGACGGGAGAGUAACACGUGGGAACAUACCUUUUGGUUCGGAACAACUGAGGGAAACUUCAGCUAAUACCGGAUAAGCCCUUACGGGGAAAGAUUUAUCGCCGAAAGAUUGGCCCGCGUCUGAUUAGCUAGUUGGUGAGGUAACGGCUCACCAAGGCGACGAUCAGUAGCUGGUCUGAGAGGAUGAUCAGCCUCACUGGGGCUGAGACACGGCCCAGACUCCUACGGGAGGCAGCAGUGGGGAAUAUUGGACAAUGGGGGCAACCCUGAUCCAGCCAUGCCGCGUGAGUGAUGAAGGCCUUAGGGUUGUAAAGCUCUUUUGCCCGGGAAGAUAAUGACGGUACCGGGAGAAUAAGCCCCGGCUAACUUCGUG